GACGAACGCUGGCGGCGUGCCUAAUACAUGCAAGUUGAGCGAUGAAGCUUGGUGCUUGCACCAAUUUGAAGAGCAGCGAACGGGUGAGUAACGCGUGGGGAAUCUGCCUUUGAGCGGGGGACAACAUUUGGAAACGAAUGCUAAUACCGCAUAACAACUUUAAACAUAAGAUUUAAGUUUGAAAGAUGCAAUUGCAUCACUCAAAGAUGAUCCCGCGUUGUAUUAGCUAGUUGGUGAGGUAAAGGCUCACCAAGGCGAUGAUACAUAGCCGACCUGAGAGGGUGAUCGGCCACAUUGGGACUGAGACACGGCCCAAACUCCUACGGGAGGCAGCAGUAGGGAAUCUUCGGCAAUGGACGAAAGUCUGACCGAGCAACGCCGCGUGAGUGAAGAAGGUUGUCGGAUCGUAAAACUCUGUUGGUAGAGAAGAACGUUGGUGAGAGUGGAAAGCUCAUCAAGUGACGGUAACUACCCAGAAAGGGACGGCUAACUACGUG
rnacentral:rRNA from 1 species